rnacentral:lncRNA from 1 species
GCGUAUGGGAAAUAGAAAAUUGGUAGAUGGGACAAGGAAAUAAAUAAGUGGUGGGAUAGAUUUGAUCUAUUGUUUGGAUAAUGGAAAAUGGAGACAUGAAUAGAAAAAUAAAGACUAGCGUACCUGGUCAUACACCUUCCUUUUAUCCCACUCGAUUUCCUUUCCCUAUCUCAAUCCCCAUCUAAAUCUCUACUGUAAUGGGACCAGUCUAAAUUAUACUAGGUCUUCGAGGUAUAACAUCUCCCGCUGGAAGACUAUAACUAUUAUGCACCCAUGAAAAUAUACAUAGAAAUUUGUCACUAUUAAGGUCAAGGGUUAAUAACACACCUAAACCAAAUCCGAUGGUCACCAUUCGAUGUGUGAUGUAGGCUUCUCACCCCGCGCCCUCCUCUUCACUUCAACACGCGACACAACUCUGCUCGAUAGACAUUCAAAGCCAAUCAUGAUCGAACAAAAAAUAAAAAUAAAAAGUGACGUUCGAAGCCUUCUGGUUCCGCCGCACC